UUUGCACUAACUUCAGGAACCAGCUCAUGAUCUCAGGAUGUAUGGAAAAAUAAUCUUUGUAUUACUAUUGUCAGAAAUUGUGAGCAUAUCAGCAUUAAGUACCACUGAGGUGGCAAUGCACACUUCAACCUCUUCUUCAGUCACAAAGAGUUACAUCUCAUCACAGACAAAUGAUAAGCACAAACGGGACACAUGUCCAGCUCAUACUGCUAAUGAAGUUUCAGAAAUUUCUGUUACAACUGUUUCCCCUCCAGAAAAGAAAAACGGAGAAACGGGACAACUUGUCCAUCGUUUCACUGUACCAGCUCCUGUAGUGAUAAUACUCAUUAUUUUGUGUGUGAUGGCUGGUAUUAUUGGAACGAUCCUCUUAAUUUCUUACAGUAUUCGCCGACUGAUAAAGGCAUGAGGAUGUGGCCUGCAUGCUGCCUGAUCUUGCCUAGAACCGGCUGCACCUGCUGUUCUCUUGUUUAUGCAAACUGGCUGCACCUGCUAUUCCUUUGCUUAUGCC
rnacentral:lncRNA from 1 species